rnacentral:pre_miRNA from 1 species
UAUAUACUCCCUCCGUUCGAAAUUACUUGUCACAAAAAUGGAUGUAUCUACAACUAAAAUACAUCUAGAUACAUUAAUUUCUUGGACGAGUAAUUCCGAACGGAGGGAGUACUAG